ACGCUCGACACCUACGGGAAGCAGCAGUUGGGAAUAUUGAACAAUGGAGGAAACUCUGAUCCAGUGACGCCGCGUGAAGGAAGAAGGUCUUCGGAUUGUAAACUUAUUUUGUCAGGGAAGAAAAAAUGACUGUACCUGAAGAAAAAGCACCGGCUAACUACGUGCCAUCAGCCGCGGUAAUCUGAGCGGGCUGGCAAGGC
rnacentral:rRNA from 1 species